GCAAUAGCAAGAAAUCUUCAAUUGCACAGUAUUGUGCAAUAGCAAGAAAUAUCUAAUUGCACAAUAUUGUGCAAUAGCAAGAAAUUUCAAUUGGAGUUAUCUUUCUUUGUCCAGAAUAGUAGUUGAAUCAACUUUAAUCAUUGUUUUAUACAAUAUACAAUGUAUAUUCACUUUUACUACCAACUGAUAAAUUUAAACAAUCUUUACCAUUCAGUGAUAACAAGCAC
rnacentral:lncRNA from 1 species